rnacentral:tRNA from 1 species
GGGGUUGUAGCUCAGUGGUAGAGCACCCACCUAGCAUGUGUGGGGUACUGUGUUCAAUCCUCAGUACCACA